rnacentral:lncRNA from 1 species
CUUGUCUAUGCUCUGCUUAGUAAAACAUCAAUAUUAUUGAACAAAAGGGCCAGUGUAAAUUGUUGUAAUUGGUGAAGGGUCAGUGACAAUUGGUUCAAUAAUAUUGAAAAAUGUAAUCAGAAAAGAGAGAGAAUGAGGCUUCUGUACUUGCAAAAGGGUCAGUGCAAAAGUGAAAGAGAAUAACUUACAGUAGUGAGAAUGACUUGUAGUUUUCGGUAUCGAAGACCUUGAGCGGCGUAGAAUAAGGGAUGGUGCAAAGGUACUUCUCCUCCAUCACAUUUCUGCAACAAGGUUUUCACAUUCUUCAGCUGUUGCCGCAGAGCCAUUGCGAGCGGCGAAUACAAGUAGAAUGAAGAGGAGGUUGACGGCAAAUGGUACUGAAGUGGGAUUUAUUUCCACCUUUGCCCCCCUUUCUUUUCCUUUUUUUCCCCCUUUACACUCGCAUACACCUACGAAAAUGAAAGAGAGUUCG